rnacentral:rRNA from 1 species
AAUCAACGCUGGCGGCGUGCCUAACACAUGCAAGUCGAACGCGAAAGGGGAGCAAUCCCUGAGUAGAGUGGCAAACGGGUGAGUAACGCGUGGGUGACCUGCCCUCGAGUGGGGGAUAACGUCCCGAAAGGGGCGCUAAUACCGCAUAACAUCCUGGGAUUGAAUGCUUGGAGAUCGAAGCUGGGGAUCGCAAGACCUGGCGCUCGAGGAGGGGCCUACGUCCGAUUAGCUAGUUGGUGGGGUAACGGCCUACCAAGGCGACGAUCGGUAGCCGGCCUGAGAGGGCGGACGGCCACACUGGGACUGAGACACGGCCCAGACUCCUACGGGAGGCAGCAGUGGGGAAUUGUUCGCAAUGGGCGAAAGCCUGACGACGCAACGCCGCGUGGAGGAUGAAGGUCUUCGGAUUGUAAACUCCUGUUGCCAGGGACGAAUGACUCGCGACCGAACACGUCGUGGGAAUGACGGUACCUGGUGAGGAAGCCCCGGCUAACUCUGUGCCAGCCGCCGCGGUAACAC